CUAGACGAGUUUGAUCAUGGCUCAGAGCGAACGUUUGCGGCGGGCCUAACACAUGCAAGUCGAACGGGUUGGCAACAACCAGUGGCGCACGGGUGCGUAACACGUAGGUAAUCUACCCUCAAGUUCGGGAUAACGAUCUGAAAGGAUCGCUAAUACCGGAUGUGUUCCGAAAGGAAGAAAGACCCGCAAGGGUCGCUAGAGGACGAGCCUGCGGCCCAUCAGCUAGUUGGUGAGGUAAUGGCUCACCAAGGCUAAGACGGGUAGCUGGUCUGAGAGGAUGAUCAGUCACACUGGAACUGAGACACGGUCCAGACUCCUACGGGAGGCAGCAGUGGGGAAUAUUGCGCAAUGGGCGAAAGCCUGACGCAGCCACGCCGCGUGAGCGAUGAAGGCCUUCGGGUCGUAAAGCUCUGUGGGGAGAGACGAAGAAAGCCUGUGAAGAGCGGGCCUUGACGGUAUCUCCUUAGCAAGCACCGGCUAACUCCGUG
rnacentral:rRNA from 1 species